rnacentral:rRNA from 1 species
UGGGGAAUAUUGCACAAUGGGCGCAAGCCUGAUGCAGCCAUGCCGCGUGUAUGAAGAAGGCCUUCGGGUUGUAAAGUACUUUCAGCGGGGAGGAAGGCGAUAAGGUUAAUAACCUUGUCGAUUGACGUUACCCGCAGAAGAAGCACCGGCUAACUCCGUGCCAGCAGCCGCGGUAAUACGGAGGGUGCAAGCGUUAACCGGAAUUACUGGGCGUAAAGCGCACGCAGGCGGUCUGUCAAGUCGGAUGUGAAAUCCCCGGGCUCAACCUGGGAACUGCAUUCGAAACUGGCAGGCUAGAGUCUUGUAGAGGGGGGUAGAAUUCCAGGUGUAGCGGUGAAAUGCGUAGAGAUCUGGAGGAAUACCGGUGGCGAAGGCGGCCCCCUGGACAAAGACUGACGCUCAGGUGCGAAAGCGUGGGGAGCAAACA